AGAGGGCCUACGGGAGACUCAACGGGAGGGCGGACCCCUGGAAAGCCUUUUCAGCUGCUGCUGCCGCCCGGGCUCGGAUCCGAAGAGCAGGAAACUGGAGGACGCCCCUGGUGGGCGAGAUUUCAUUUCAAACCUGCCUGUUGGCUGAGGCUUGGGCGGGGAAGGAGACGUGGCGGGACAUCGGCCUGGCUGGGCGCUCUGCCCGCGGCCCAGGGACACAAGGUGAGCUGAAGGAGAGCUACUUGUGUGAGGACUGGAAAGGCACGGGUGCCAUGGAAACCGCUCUGAAAGCCAGGAAAGCUGCAGCCAUCAGGAGAGGCCGCUCGGCCGCCACUGGCCAGCUGUUUGGAUCCUCUCCCUAACAUGAUGAG
rnacentral:lncRNA from 1 species